rnacentral:lncRNA from 1 species
CAACACAGAACUCAACUGGGAACACGCGAGAUAUUCUCCGCUCCCUCCCCCACCUGCAUGGCUGGGAAGGGGCAAACGCCAGCCCCACAUCCUAGCCCCAGGGGCUGCAAGGAAAGCUGCUCUCCGCAUGGAGCUACCCCCCAGGCCCACUGCUUGGCUGAAGGCACCUGCUCCCCUGGCCCACCCCGAACACCUGAAACCACCGCUGGCUGCAGAGCAGAGCUAUCAAAAGUCAGGAAACGCCCAGGUGAACCUGGUCCCUCUGCACACUGAAGAUGAAGAAGCAGAUUUGGUAUUCCACCAUCACUACGCACCAUACCCCACUGCCACUCCCGCCCCCCCAUGGCAGCCCCUGGCGCAGCCUCCAGCUUGGGCACAGGAGCCCCCUAGCAUACGCCACGUCAGCCUGGACCCACACCCAGCCCCAGCAAGGAGGACUCAGGAUGACAAAGUGGUCCCUCCGCCCCCGCCGCCCAGCGCCACGGGGACAGUGGGAGCCGACGUCCCGCCGGCUGCAGAGUAUUAUGACUACACCCAGGGCAAGCUGUGAGCCUGGCUCUGUGCGUCCUGGGAGCUCUCCUCUUCUCCUGCACCCCCUGUCCCUGCCUGGCUCGGGGAUCCCUGCUGCAGCAGGCGUCCCCCCUGGCCCAGCGAAGCUGGUGCAUCGGGCCCUGACAGACCGCUCUGUCCUUCGUCCGCGCUCGUUAACUGGACUAGCUGUGGAAGCGACGGGCAACCUCCUGCUGCGUCCUCUCCCAUCCCUUGCCUCGCCCUGCCUCACCCCAUGGAGCCGGAAGGGAAGCUUGCCUGGACUCGCCUCUCAGCUUGCCUGGACUCCUCUGUCAGAUAUUAAGAAGGUGCUUCAUGGUCUAGCUGUUUCCAUGACGUGGCUGUCCCCUGACGUGGCAGCUUCUCCUGCCCCAGGCAGGAAGAGGUGCUAUUAG